rnacentral:rRNA from 1 species
CAAUAGCGUAUAUUAACGUUGUUGCAGUUAAAAAGCUCGUAGUUGGAUCUCUGGAGGGAGCGUCGGCCCGUAUUUACGAGUGCGUGACGUCUCUGUCCAUCCUUGCGGGAAGGCACGGCAUUGAUUUGUUGUGUCGGAUCGCAUCAUUUACUGUGAAAAAAUUAGAGUGUUCAAAGCAGGCUUUCGCUUGAAUACAUUAGCAUGGAAUAAUAAGAUAGGACUUUGGUGCUAUUUUGUUGGUUGAGCCUAAAGUAAUGAUUAAUAGGGAUAGUUGGGGGCACCUGUAUUGCGUUGUCAGAGGUGAAAUUCUUGGAUUUACGCAAGACAAACAGCUGCGAAAGCGUCUGCCAAGGAUGUUUUCAUUA